AGAGCCGGGGGUGCCCCGGGACCGGGGGGCUGCGGGGUGACCGGCAACGGGGCGACCAAAAGCUUCCUACAGGCGGUAACACGCCCGAAUCGAGCGCCUCCUCUGCCUGCCUCUCCCUGCCCGCAUCCUCCUGCGUGGCGGCGAGGCGAUGAACGCACCUUAUUCCCCCACACCCGUCAUCACGGCUCUUUCUUUCAUUAUCUUUAUUCAUCGGUUUUGUUUCGCUCCAUCGUUAAACGGAUCGUUUUCGCCACGGUAGCAUGCUGAGAGGACCGUGCGGUGAGCGCCGUGGAUGGGAUCUGAAAUUCCCUGAAAAGUUUGUAACUGCUUUGGUGACAGUCAUGAUGAAAGAAUUGCUGGAGAUGUAUGAAGGAGGAAACAAGACUGUAUAUACGGCUUCAUUAUUAAGAAAACCAGGUUGUCUACUGCCUAUCACUGGAAGUCUCAGCAGAUAAACAUUUUUUUGUGUCAUGCUGUGUCUUAAAGACUGGUAAAUUGUCAGAGUCUGAUCCUACAAAAUACUGAACAAUUUCCCCAGAUUCAUAAUGUUUUUAUCUACUCUUAGAGCAGGGAAGUCUCAGCAACCACAUUUCUUGGGUUUUAAGAGCAGCAUGGAUUAUUAGGAUUGUCUAAUGUACCUCCAUACAUGACAAAUGAUGGAGCUUAAUACUGCAGCAAAGUACUGUACUUGAAAUUGCUCUGCAUCUGUCAGGUUGCUUUCCUACACAAAAUGGACAACAGUUGUUCAAGCCCACAGGAGCAUUCAUCAAGCUCUGGCUGAGAAUGAUUACCACCAGGUUACAAGAACUAACAUGGACAGGAGGAGCAACUACCUGUGAAGAUAGAGUUUUUCAGAAACUAUGUUUAUAAACAAGUAAUCUUUUCCUAUUAAUCAUAAAAUCACUCCAUCAGUCUUUGUCCUUGAAGAUCCUGAUGUGGCAAUUGAUUUGGACAUGGAGUAAAAACCAGCACAGAAUGAUACUUAUGCCAAAGACAUGUAAAAAUAAAAAUUAGCUGCAAAUAUUUGCAUUUCAGAUCUCAUUCAGCCAAAAAUAAACUUUUUCAAGAACCUACACAGGUUAUGGAGCCGGAGGUCUACUUACAUUAAAUAGCAAAACCUAUAGUAAUGUCAAGUAUAGAGCUUUUAAAAAUAAACAGUUAUUUAAUGUUGCAAAUCCAAAAGAUUUAACAAUCCUAUUAAUAAAAAAUACGUAAUCCAGA